UGAAAUCUAGUGUAUUCGCACAAUUAAUUUUGAUUUAAUAAGAAAUUUUCAU
rnacentral:tRNA from 1 species